UCUUGUUAGUCUAAGGUUGGCAACCUGAAAUGCACAUCAGAGACCAACUCUCUAAAGGGGAGUUCCUUUGAAAAUUGCAGGAACUGUGAUCAGGUUCAUACCUGCUAUGGAAGGCCACUGGUAACCCUAUAAUAGUGUUACACGCCUUUGAUAACUGUUCUUCAACUCUGUAAAGUAAGAAUGAUAGCACCUAUUUUAUAAAGUCUCCCCAGCCUCUCCCAGCUCAGGUCAUGAUUUGAAUGGAGAAGACUGGCCUCAGCCUUGACCUGGAAGCAAUCAUCUGGCCUCAGCCUUGAGUGCUACUGUGCCAAGUGCGCACCAGCCCACCUGCAAUUGCUGGUCUUAGAAAGGCAAGGUACCAGUGACAAGGAGAGUGUGUUGGCUCAGACCUGUUAUCCCCACACUGGGAGGCUGAGGAAAGAAGAGGCCGAGCUGGAAAUCAGCCUGGGAAAUACAGCAAGUUCCGGGCCAUGCAGUGCUGGAGCAGACGAUUUCCUGUGAACCUAAAGUCAGAAAAGAAAUGGAGCAAUUCUACCACCACUCAGAACCUGCACUGUCAUCCUCAACUUUGCAUGUGAGGAGGCUCCCAGCCAGAAAUGCAGCCCUGAACCAACCAGGAGAUGCAUCUGGGUGUCUACAGCCCCUAAGUCACUACUUCCCAAAGAAUGAAUGAGUGGAGGAUCCGCGGCUCCAUUCUCAGCUUUCUUCUUCAGUGAUAAUUCUCCUGUAUUUUUUUUUUUUUGUACUGGGGAUCAAACUGAGGACCUUCUGCUUACAAGGGAGGCAGCGGAACCACUGAGCUAAAUCCCCAGCUAUAGUGAUAAAUAAUUCUAAUGCUCUCAGCUAGACAUGGCCAUUCAUGCCUAUAUCCCACCAUUCAGGAGGCAGAGGGAGGAGGAUGGAAAAUUGGGGGUCACCUGGACUACAGAGCAAAACCUGUUAAGGAAAAUAUAGAAUAAC